GUUUCUCUUUCUCUCUCACCUAGCUCGAUCUACCCAACCAAAGCGUGGAAGAAAGAGGCAAACUCCCUGGCUAUCGUCUCCGCUUUUUUUUUCUUGCUCAUUGAACCAGCAUAGAGAUGAAAGAAAGUAUCAAGAGUGAUAGUGGAAAUUCGAAAUCUCCAUCAGCUGCCUCCCUUCCACUGAUUUUGGAUAUAGAUGAUUUUAAGGGUGAAUUUUCAUUUGAUGGAUUAUUUGGGAACUUGGUAAAUGAAUUACUUCCAUCGUUUCAAGAAGAUGAAGCAGAUUCAGCCGAAGGGCAUGGAAACGUUGGUGGGAGUGAUGUCUUAGCAAAUGGGCAUGUAAGAGCCCCCUCUGAGGUACCAAAAUUUACACAAGGGCUGUCCCCUUUAUUUCCAGAAGUAGAUGCUCUCUUGUCUCUGUUCAGAGAUUCUUGUAAAGAGUUAAUUGAUCUUCGAAAGCAGAUUGAUGGAAAGCUCUCCAAUCUGAGGAAAGAUGUUUCUGCCCAAGACUCUAAGCACCGGAAAACACUUGCUGAGUUGGAAAAAGGUGUAGAUGGAUUGUUUGAUAGCUUUGCAAGGUUGGACUCUCGUAUUUCAAGUGUUGGACAGACUGCUGCGAAAAUAGGAGAUCAUUUGCAAAGUGCAGAUGCUCAGAGGGAAACUGCCAGCCAAACAAUAGAACUCAUCAAGUACCUGAUGGAGUUUAAUGGCAGCCCGGGUGAUUUAAUGGAACUUUCGCCUUUGUUUUCAGAUGACAGCCGUGUUUCUGAGGCUGCUUCAAUUGCACAGAAAUUACGUUCCUUUGCUGAGGAAGAUAUGGGAAGACAAGGCAUAUCUGUACCAUCAGUUAUGGGAAAUGCAACUGCUAGCAGAGGAUUGGAAGUUGCAGUUGCUAAUCUUCAGGAUUACUGCAAUGAACUGGAGAACAGAUUGUUGGCUCGAUUUGAUGCAGCAUCACAGAGAAGAGAGUUGUCUACCAUGGCAGAAUGUGCUAAAAUUUUAUCUCAGUUUAACAGGGGUACCAGUGCUAUGCAACAUUAUGUGGCAACACGUCCGAUGUUCAUUGACGUGGAAGUCAUGAAUGCGGACACCAGAUUGGUUCUUGGUGAUCAGGUUUCUCAAGCUAGUCCCAGUGAUGUUGCUCGUGGGCUUUCUUCAUUAUACAAAGAAAUUACAGACACUGUUCGUAAAGAGGCAGCCACAAUUAUGGCAGUAUUUCCUUCUCCUAAUGAUGUCAUGUCAAUUUUGGUCCAGCGAGUUUUGGAGCAGCGAGUUACAGCUCUUUUGGACAAAUUGUUAGUCAAACCUUCUCUUGUGAAUUUACCUCCUAUGGAAGAAGGCGGACUUUUGUUAUAUCUCAGAAUGCUAGCGGUGGCAUAUGAAAAGACUCAGGAACUUGCUAGAGACCUACGAGCUGUGGGAUGCGGUGACUUGGAUGUUGAGGGCCUCACAGAAUCUCUCUUUUCUUCUCACAAGGAUGAAUAUCCUGAACAUGAGCAGGCCUCUCUUAGACAGUUAUAUCAAGCAAAGGUGGAAGAAUUGCAUGCUGAGAGCCAGCAGCUUUCUGAGUCAACUGGAACAAUUGGACGAUCAAAGGGAGCUUCUGUAGCAUCUUCCCACCAGCAGAUAUCUGUUACUGUUGUGACAGAAUUUGUGCAUUGGAAUGAAGAAGCAAUAUCAAGAUGCACUCUGUUUUCAUCUCAACCUACUAACCUUGCAGCCAAUGUGAAAGCGGUGUUCACUUGCUUGCUAGACCAAGUUGGGCAAUAUCUAACAGAAGGUCUUGAAAGGGCUAGAGACAGUCUGACUGAAGCUGCAGCUUUGAGGGAAAGGUUUGUUCUGGGCACGAUUGUUACUAGAAGGGUGGCCACUGCUGCUGCUUCUGCUGCAGAAGCUGCAGCUGCAGCUGGUGAGAGCAGUUUCAGAUCUUUCAUGGUUUCUGUACAACGUUGUGGCAGUAGUGUGGCUAUAGUUCAGCAAGUAUGUUGGGUUGCGCUAACAUUGUUAAGUUAUUAUCAAGCCACAUAUUCGAUAACUUAAAUUGCUUCAUGUGAAGAAAUGGCAACAGCUAUGUCCAGUGCAGAAGCUGCUGCAUAUAAAGGGCUUCAGCAAUGCAUUGAAACUGUUAUGGCUGAGGUGGUCUAGACUUCCAGUCUUUUACUUCCUUGAUCUAGAUUCUGGUGGACAAUCACAAGUCUUUAAUUCAUCAUAUGAUUUUAUUUUUCUGGGUAGCAUUAAAUGCAGUGCAACAUUUUGUCCCUUUCCUUGUUUUGAUUUGUUAUGAUGAUCAGAUGUAUUUCCAUUUUGCACGUUUGUUUACUUUUCUUUAUUUUUAUUAUUAUCUUUGUGAAGCACUUAAACUACUGUGUAGGUAGAGCGAUUGUUAUCUGCUGAACAAAAGGCAACAGACUAUCGAUCACCAGAUGAUGGAAUUGCUCCUGAUCAUCGGCCGACAAAUGCUUGCACAAGAGUUGUGGCAUACCUUUCUCGUGUGCUUGAGGCUGCAUUUACUGCAUUAGAAGGUCUUAACAAACAAGCGUUCCUGACUGAACUGGGAAAUCGCUUAAAUAAAGGGCUGCUUAAUCACUGGCAGAAAUUCACUUUUAACCCCAGUGGAGGUCUACGGCUGAAGCGAGAUAUAACUGAGUAUGGGGAAUUUGUGCGAAGUUUCAAUGCUCCUUCUGUUGAUGAGAAAUUUGAAUUGUUGGGCAUAAUGGCAAAUGUAUUUAUUGUGGCUCCUGAAAGCCUUUCCACUUUGUUUGAGGGGACUCCCAGCAUCCGUAAAGAUGCACAAAGGUUUAUUCAGCUUAGAGAGGACUUCAAGAGUGCAAAACUUGCAUCCAGACUUAGCUCCUUGUGGACAAGUUCUAGUUGAUAAAGAAAUAGCGUGCUGACAUAUGUAACUUCCCUUAUUCUUUGGAUUUCUUACGUCAAAGCAGGUAUGCUUUACCUCAGUCUGUUCUGAUGGUGUGGGAAGUGUAAGUUUGAUUGUUUUGUUAGGGCUAAGACCAUGUUAAAGAGCUGGUUGCAAAUCAAGUUUUUUCCUAUGCUGUUCCAUCUACGGACAGGAAAUCAGGUAGAGGAUAGUCCAUUUUGAUUUUUUUAUUUCUUUUUCCUUCAAAAUUUCUUUGUCAUUUUUUUUUUUGUAUAUUUUUGAAGCUAUUGAUGUCAAGAUGCGAUAGAUUUGUAUCCUUAAUGCUCUAUUUUAGACGUUAGGUUUGCAGUUUUGAUUUGAACCUUCCAAGAAAGAAUCCAUUGCCCUCUGUAUUUUUGUAAAUGAUACUCUUAGGGAUGAAUAAUGAUUUAUUAGGGGUGAUUUUGUUUGAUUGAGUGAUGCAUGGUGUAUAUUAAUAUGAAUAUGUAAUUUUCUUGCCAAAUUUGAAGUUGCUAUUAGUGAGAUUUGAAUAUAUUUCCAAAUUAAAUAGCUUUGAAUAUGGGCUUUUGGGGCAACCCAC
rnacentral:misc_RNA from 1 species